ensembl:lncRNA
UGUUAAGCUACAAUGGUAGCUGGAGAAUGAUGGUAUCUGGCUAGCCGACAUCAAACCGAUAAAGGGAGAGACUUUAUCGGUAAUCGAGAGGGAGGAUAUAUCUGUUAAAAGAGGAUGCUGUGUUUGGAGUGAAAGAGAAGGAUGAGAUUACCGUCACUUUGAAGGAAGAAGAGGAACAGACUGGAGAUCCAAAUAACUACUAACAAAUCUCAAACCCAGGCUCAGAGAGCGGUCCCAGUUCCACAGCAUCAACAAACUGCAAACAAGGCAGGAAGACUUAGAGAACAUCAAAGAGUACAUACAGGGGAGAAGCCUCACCACUGUACCCAAUGUGGGAGGAGUUUCAGCUGGGCAGGAAUUCUUAAGAUGUAUAGAAGAAUUUAUACAGGGGAGAAACCUUUCCAAUGCACUGUGUAAGAAGAGGUUUACAAGAGAAGUGGCUCUAAAGAUUCAUGAAAGAGUCCACACUGGAGAGAAACCCUUCUGCUGCUCCACGUGUGGCAAGUGUUUUAGUGGAAAAUUAAACCUUAAUAGACACGAGAGUCCAUAGUGGUGAGAAGCCUUAUUUCUGUACAAAUUGUGGAAAGUGCUUAAGUAAUUCAAGAACCCUUAAAACACCAGCGGAUACAUACAGGGGAGAAACAAUACCACUGUUCUCUGCAGGAAGAAUUUCCUUUUUGCCGGAGACCUACAGAAACAUCAGAGAUCACAUAGUAGGGAAAAGCCUUAUCGCUGCUUUGUGUGUCAGAAAAGUUUUACUCAGCUCCCAAUGUUGAAAUAAUUUCCUUGUGGAGGAAGAAACAUGAGAGAAUGCAUAUUCAAGUGAAACCUACCUUUACUUUGAAUGUGAUUAUUAAGGAGGAGGGAGAAGAGAGAGAAAUUAAGAAAGAGGAAACAUAAGCUAUCUAUAUAAAUGUGAAGGCCUCCUAUCGUUUCUUCCUUCCAGUUUGUUUCUGACGGGGGAGCACCAUUGAUGGCUAUCUCUAUUUUUAAGUAGGUCUCUUGUGACUCUGUUGCUGAUAUAGCAUGGCGAAUGUGAAGUUCUGGGUUCAAUUCCCAGGAUAAAAAAGUAUGCUUCAAACAAUGUAUGUCCCUCCGGACAAAAGAAACUGCCAAGUGACUUACCUGAAUGUAUAUUAUUUUACUUUCAAGACUGUAUUGCAAGUCUGUAAAUAAACUUCAUAGGUAAUACUGACUACCUUGAACAGUGAAGUGUGUAUAUUCUAAACAGGUAUAAUGUGAAGAGCCUGGAUGCAACACAAACUCAAGUUAUACAUUUAGCAUCUUCUGAAGGCUGAUUAACCUGCUUUCAGAUUGUCCAGGAUGAGUUCAACCUGCAGUUGUGGCAUGUUUUUGAGUCUAAAUCAUUGUCUGACACCUACUAGCUGCAAUUGAAAUUUGUUCUAUCAUUCCUUAACUUGCUUCCAAUGUUUCACCCAGUUGACUUCAAAGUACUAACUGUCUGCAAGAGUUUGCCAGAAGCCAUGUGGAUAACGCUGACACCGAAUGGACAAAGAUGCUGUGCUUUUUGGUUUCAAUGCUAACACCGCAUAUCAUCCUGAGAACACCAUCCCUACCAUGAAGCAUGGUGGUGGCAGCAUCAUACUAUGGGGAUGCUUCUUUCAUCAGGGCUUGUGAGGAAAACCUGAAGUCGUCAUGCUUCUUUCAUCAGGGCUUGUGAGGAAAACCUGAAGUCGUCAUGCUUCUUUCAUCAGGGCUUGUGAGGAAAACCUGAAGUCGUCAUUCAUCUUCCAUCAGGAUAAUGAUGCUAGAGUGGCUUAAAAACAAGAAAGUUCAAUGUGCUGGAGUGGCACAUUCAAAGCUCGGACCACUCUCCAAUUGACAGAAUGUGGAAAGAGUUAAAUAGCUGUUUACCAAAGGUCCCUUUCUAACUUGAUGGGCCUGAGCAAAUUUGCAGAGCUGGUAGAGACAUCUGAAUGAACUCAUGACUGUAAUCGCUGCCAAAGGUCCCUCAACCAAAUACUGACUGAAGGGUUUAAAUACUUGUACAAUCAAUUAAUUUUCUGUUUUGUAUUUGCAGUUCAUUUUGAACAGUUUUUCACUUUAUUUUCUUUG